rnacentral:rRNA from 1 species
GACGAACGCUGGCGGCGUGCUUAACACAUGCAAGUCGAACGGAAAGGCCCUGCUUUUGUGGGGUGCUCGAGUGGCGAACGGGUGAGUAACACGUGAGUAACCUGCCCUUGACUUUGGGAUAACUUCAGGAAACUGGGGCUAAUACCGGAUAGGAGCUCCUGCUGCAUGGUGGGGGUUGGAAAGUUUCGGCGGUUGGGGAUGGACUCGCGGCUUAUCAGCUUGUUGGUGGGGUAGUGGCUUACCAAGGCUUUGACGGGUAGCCGGCCUGAGAGGGUGACCAGCCACAUUGGGACUGAGAUACGGCCCAGACUCCUACGGGAGGCAGCAGUGGGGAAUAUUGCACAAUGGGCGGAAGCCUGAUGCAGCAACGCCGCGUGCGGGAUGACGGCCUUCGGGUUGUAAACCGCUUUCGCCUGUGACGAAGCGUGGGUGACGGUAAUGGGUAAAGAAGCACCGGCUAACUACGUG